rnacentral:lncRNA from 1 species
AGUUGAAGGCUAAAAUGCGAACUGUCGUCUUUACAAAAAUCCAAGAUGACGAGGAAGAUGACAGAGAAAGUGUGGCAUCAUCGUAUCAUAUCACUUUAAGUGAAAUAGACGUGAUUGAGGAAGAAGACGCUGAAACUGCCCCACCCGAGCUUGAAGAAGGAGUCAAAGCCACCAUCGAUGAGUUAAAGGAAAUUAAUUUAGGAGAUGCGGAGAAUCCUCGACCAAUCUACAUUAGCGCUUUACUGGCCGUCAACGAAGAGGAGACUUAUAUUGAAUUGUUGCACGAGUUCAAGGAUGUGUUUGCAUGGUCUUAUAAAGAAAUGCCCGGAUUGGACCCAAAAGUGGCAAUACAUCAUCUCUCCGUGAAGAAAGGAGCUCGCCCUGUGAAACAAGGCCAACGUAGAUUUAGGCCUGAAUUAGUCCCUGCAAUUGAGGCUGAAGUGAACAAACUUAUUGAGGUUGGUUUCAUUCGAGAAGUCAAGUACCCAACAUGGAUUUCAAGUAUCGUCCCUGUUAGAAAGAAGAAUGGACAAAUUCGUGUGUGUGUUGACUUUAGAGAUUUGAACGAAGCAUGCCCUAAGGACGACUUUCCAAUGCCAAUAGCCGAACUAAUGAUCGAUGCUACUACAGGCCACGAAGCAUUAUCAUUUAUGGAUGGGUCGUCCGGAUACAAUCAAAUACGAAUGGCGCCGAAAGACGAAGAAUUAACAGCCUUUCGCACACCUAAGGGCAUUUAUUGCUAUAAAGUGAUGCCAUUUGGCUUGAAAAAUGCCGGUGCUACAUACCAAAGAGCCAUGCAGAAGAUAUUUGAUGACAUGCUCCAUAGAGAUGUUGAAUGUUAUGUGGAUGACUUGGUGGUUAAAUCCAAAAGAAGGGAAGAUCAUCUCCAAAAUUUGAGAAAAGUCUUCGAGCGCUUGAGAAGGUACCAAUUGAAGAUGAAUCCAUUGAAAUGUGCAUUUGGUGUUACUUCGGGGAAGUUUCUUGGAUUCGUAGUUCGUCACCGAGGCAUAGAAAUCGAACAAGCCAAGAUUGAUGCAAUUUUAAAGAUUCGCGAGCCUAGGAACAUUCAUGAACUCAAAAGUUUGCAAGGAAAGUUGGCAUACCUAAGAAGGUUCAUUUCAAACUUAGCCGGUCGAUGUCAACCAUUCAGCCGACUCAUGAAGAAAAAUGUUCCCUUUGAAUGGGAUGAAGCUUGCACUAGUGCCUUUGAAAGUAUAAAAUCAUAUUUAACGAAGCCUCCUGUGUUGAUUGCACCAGUGCCCGGACGAUCGUUAAUACUCUAUAUUGCUGCUCAAGAACGAUCUGUCGGAGCUUUACUAGCCCAGGAGAAUGAUGAUGGAAAAGAGAGUGCCUUAUACUACUUGAGUAGAACAAUGACACCAAAUGAAUUGAACUACUCGCCAAUCGAAAAGACAUGCUUAGCGCUCAUUUUUGCAAUUCAAAAGUUGAAGCAUUAUUUUCAAGCACAUGUUGUCCGUCUGAUCUCAAGGAUGAAUCCUCUAAAGUAUGUCAUGUCAAAACCCGUCCUAUCUGACAGACUCGCAAGGUGGUACCUACAAUUGCAGCAAUUUGACAUAACAUAUAUUCCACAAAAGGCUGUGAAAGGACAAGUUCUAGCCGAUUUCUUGGCAGAUCACCCUAUCCCUGCAGAGUGGGAGUUAUCCGAUGAUCUACCCGAUGAAGAUGUUCUUGUGAUUGAAGCUAGUCCUCCUUGGAAGAUGUAUUUUGAUGGAGCUUCUCACAGAGAAGGAGCGGGCGCCGGAGUAGUAUUCGUCACAUCCAACGGCGAAGUGUUGCCUCACUCUUUUACCUUAACACAAAAUUGCUCUAACAAUGUUGCUGAAUAUCAAGCUCUUAUCCUUGGGCUAGAAAUGGCAGUUGAUAUAAAGCGACUAAAUUUGGAGGUAUAUGGAGACUCCAAGUUGGUGAUCAAUCAGAUACUCGGAUCGUACGAAGUAAAGAAGCUCGAUUUACUCCCUUAUGUGGAUUAUGCUAAAAGACUUAUCGGAUACCUUGGUGAUGUGACGAUAGAGCAUGUGCCAAGAAAGGAUAACAAACAAGCAGAUGCAUUGGCAAAACUUGCUUCUACUUUAGCCAUGCCCGAAGACGGAGCUCGUAUAUCAAUUUUCAAGAGGUGGGUCGUACCACCAAUUUUUGAACACGAAGAAAUUGAAGAAGACGAAACUCGAGUGGUUUACGUGUUUGAAAUCGAGAAAGAAGAUUGGCGUCAAUCGUUUGUGGAUUACUUGAAGUACGAAAAGUUGCCUAAUGAUCCACGUCAAAGGGUUGAUAUUCGACGUCGUGCGGCUCGUUUCAUCUACUAUAAAGAUACACUUUAUAGACGUUCAUUUGAUGGAGUCUUCUUGAGAUGUUUAGGUGAUGACGAAGCCAUUCAAGCCAUAGAAGAAGCUCAUUCCGGAGUUUGCGGCGCCCAUCAGUCAGGACCCAAGCUACAUUUCCGAAUAAAAAGAAUGGGCUAUUAUUGGCCAUCUAUGGUGAAGGACUGCAUGGAGUAUGCCCAAAAAUGCCAACCUUGUCAAUUUCAUGCAAACUUUAUUCAUCAACCGCCGGAGCCAUUGCACCCUACUGUUGCCUCAUGGCCCUUUGAUGCUUGGGGUUUGGAUGUGGUUGGACCUAUGACAAAAGUCUUCAGCUGNNNNNNNNNNNNNNNNNNNNNNNNNNNNNNNNNNNNNNNNNNNNNNNNNNNNNNNNNNNNNNNNNNNNNNNNNNNNNNNNNNNNNNNNNNNNNNNNNNNNNNNNNNNNNNNNNNNNNNNNNNNNNNNNNNNNNNNNNNNNNNNNNNNNNNNNNNNNNNNNNNNNNNNNNNNNNNNNNNNNNNAAAAUUUGUGAAAGUUUGGCUUCAAGCAAAGAAAGUCUUCAAUGUACAACGCAGCCGCCAAUGGACUCGCCGAGGCCUUCAACAAGACUUUAUGUAAUUUGCUGAAGAAAGUGAUCGCCAAGUCAAAACGUGAUUGGCACGAGAAGAUGGGAGAAGCUUUAUGGGCUUAUAGAACAACGUAUAGAACACCUACUCAAGCCACUCCAUAUGCUUUGGUGUACGGUGUGGAAGCAGUCUUGCCUCUUGAAAAACAAAUUCCAUCAUUGAGGAUAGCUAUACAAGAAGAACUCACUCAAGAAGAAAAUGCCCGUUUGCGUCUUGCAGAAUUGGAAGCUCUUGACGAGAAAAGAUUAGAGGCACAACAAAGUAUUGAAUGCUACCAAGCUCGUCUUUCUAGGGCGUUUAAUAAGAAGGUGCGGCCAAGAUCGUUUCAAGUUGGAGAUUUGGUACUUGCCGUAAGGAGGCCCAUCAUCGUCACUCACAAAACUAGGAAUAAAUUUACUUCAAAGUGGGAUGGUCCUUAUGUCGUCAAAGAAGCAUACACAAAUGGAGCGUACAAGUUGGUUGCCGAAGAUGGUUUAAGAAUUGGUCCGAUAAAUGGAAAGUUCUUGAAGCGGUACUAUGCAUGAAGCGGAGGAGAAGGCUCCUGGCCCGCAUGAGUUGAAACUGUGCACGGCUAAAAAAAAAAAAAAAAAAAAAAAAAAAAAAAAAAAAAAAAAUCUAUCUUUUUUCUUUGAACUACGUUAUGACUUGAUCCCACUCGGGGUACGUAGGCAGCUUAAAUAUUCUCUAAGUUCAGUCCUUUCCUAAAAAAAAAAAAAAAAAAAAUCUAUCUUUGUUUUCUUUGAACUACGUUAUGACUUGAUCCCACUCGGGGUACGUAGGCAGCUUAGAUAUUCUCUAAGUUCAGUCCUUUCCUAAAAAAAAAUCUAUCUUUUUUCCUUUGAACUACGUUAUGACUUGACCCCAUUCGGGGUACGUAGGCAGCUUAGAUAUUCUCUAAGUUCAGUCCUUUCCUAAAAAAAAAAAAAAAAAAAAAAAAAAAAAAAAAAAAAAAAAAAAAAUCUAUCUUUGUUUUCUUUGAACUACGUUAUGACUUGAUCCCACUCGGGGUACGUAGGCAGCUUAAAUAUUCUCUAAGUUCAGUCCUUUCCUAAAAAAAAAAAAAAUCUAUUUGUUUUCUUUGAACUACGUUAUGACUUGAUCCCACUCGGGGUACGUAGGCAGCUUAAAUAUUCUCUAAGUUCAGUCCUUUCCUAAAAAAAAAAAUCUAUUUUUUUUCCUUUGAACUACGUUAUGACUUGAUCCCAUUCGGGGUACGUAGGCAGCUUAAAUAUUCUCUAAGUUCAGUCCUUUCCUAAAAAAAAAAAAAAAAAAAAAAAAAAAAAAAAAAAAAAAGAAUCUUUAAAAAAAAUAGGGGGACCACAAGGGAAAAGGAAAAUUUUUUUUUUUUCAGGAAUCAAAAAGGGGAAAUAACCAUUAAAAAAACCAAAAAUUAAAAAAAUAAAAAAAAAAUCAUCUAAAUCUAGCUCAAGCAAAAGGGUCUAAAUCCGUCCAACUUUUCUUUGGGCAUCUUCUAGAAGCUCGGCAGAAGCGCGCAAUUCGUCUACCAAAUCAUCACUUAAAGGGGAUGUAUUUUCAUGGCAGCAAUCUCUUCAUUAAUCUCACGAAUUUCUAUUUUAACAGUAUCAAGGAGUUCUCGUUGUUGUUUUAAUGAUGAUCUCAACUGUCCCACCCUCAGCUUCAAAGUAGCACGCUCUUUCUUAACACUCUCCAAAUCAUUAUUGGUGGCUUGAAAUUGAAGAGUCUCUUUGUGUUCUCUAGCUUGAGUAUUAUGCAAACGAUCUUUAGCCCCAUCUAAUUGUCGUGCUAGAAUCUCUUUAGAUGCCUUCUCAGUGUUCGACGACCUCACCUUAUCAUAAGCCGUCGCCUGGGAAAAUAAUGACUUCAAUAAUUCUUCUAUGCAAGAUAUGUCGAAAUCACCAAGAUCCCGCAUGGUUCCAAGAACUAAUUGGACAUCUUCUUGAAUAGACGAAAUGGAAUCAAUUGAAGUCCGUACUAUCCUCGCACGAAGAUCUUGCCAUAAUUGGCGAAGAAAAACCCGCUUGUGAUUUUUCAGGAAAUUCUCACCCACAAAAACUGAACAAGCACCAUUGUACGACCCUUUCGCGGUCUCUUUCAUCUUGGAUGUUCUGGCAGGCAUCAAAGUAGUCGGCGGCGAAGCUGCACCCGUUGAGCAAGCAUUGGCAGUGGAGUGAUGACUAGCUUGAGAUUCCUCGCGAUCGUCAACGUCAAUUAUCUCCUUUUCCAACUUAAAAAAAAAAAAAAAAAAAAAUCAUUAUAAAAAAAAAAAAAAAAAAAAAAAAAAAAAAAAAGGGAAAAGUAUAAAGUGCAACCUUCUCAGCAAAAGUGUCAUUUGUUCGAGAAUGACUGUCCACGUUGUUAUCAAUAUGAAGAAGAUCUUGUGGUUUUGAAGAUUGCGGGUCCCUCUUCGGCCUUUUCCAAUGACGCUCUAUAUGGCUAUUGUCACUCUCAUCCGAAGGAGGCAAAACGUUCUUCUUCUUUAUAUCUCUAGGAGGAUUUUUGGUUUGGAGAACAUUUUCGCGAGAAAGAUUGUCGAGACUACCUCUUGCCUCAUCUUCUUUGUCUUCAAGUGGAAUCUUACUUGACUCCAAGUUCAUCAGACUCGCAGCUUUAUUUUCAAGAUAAGUUCCGUAAGCUUUAGUCCACCAUCUCUUAUAGUCGUCCGUGUGAAACUUUCUCGGAUUUUGAGGAACGAUGGAAAACAUCACUUUAGACAUGGACUCGAGCAAAACACAUAGACGCCAAUAACGGAGUCCAUCUAUUAAAGAAGCCUCGCGAACGUCUUCAUCAAGUACUCCCGGAACAUCUUGGUAAAACCCAAAUUGACGGCUAAACCGAUGAGGACUAUAUGGCUCAAUAACGAAACGAUUACCACGCCGCAAGGAGAGAUAGCUCGAGCGAAUGGCGAUGAAAUAAUUUCUCUCGAACCCUUUAGUUGUUCCAUCAUCAACAUAUAAAGAAGACUCGCUCCUAGGGAUCGUGGUGCAAGUCCAAGACAUAAGAUCUCCUUUGUGAAUCCGUUUGCGUGCAUCCGCGGGAGUGUAGUAUCUAGCGCUUCUUUCUCCGGAAUAAGAUACCAUCUUUGGGCCAUCGACGGCUACGCCUUGCGGAACUUGACAAUGGGUCUUGAAAUAAAACGCCAACCAACUAUAGACGAAGUGAAUAGGAAACGGAGAAUUCUCUUGAUGGGGUCUCAAGGAUCUCGAAAUCCUAUUUAUGCCAUUGAAGAUGCUUGCCAAGACAGGAACUGCAAGAGAGACUUCUUCGCCACUCGCCAUUAUGCUAGCCAUCUUGAAUGUUGAAGGACGUAUCAUGCCCACAUCAUCAAUAGGGAGGACGAAGGUGCAAAGCCAACAAGCCAAAUGGGCCGCCAAGUACGUCUCGGACCUCAGUUCGACAUCAACGCUAAUGCUCGAAAACACAGCUUCUUCAAUGUUGAUCCAUUUCGCAUGUGCUUCAAUAUUGCCGGAAGGAUUGUGAGUUGACUUGGGGCGAACACCUUUCUUUUCUUUGCGCGGAGGAGGUUGAGUGUACUUCUUCUGCUUCUUCGACCAAAACUGAAUCCAGCUUUCGACAGAGACAUUGGAGGACGGAUCUUUAGAGCGCUUCCGAAGUAAGUGGUAGGCAUGGAAUAGAUGUCGGCAGGAACGGUGAGAAUAUCGAACACCCUUUGCAUCGGAACCGACGAGUUCUUGAGAGGCAGGGACAACUUCAUCGUAAAGCAGCCCGGUUAACGAUAGCCCGGAGAGGAUGUGCAAAUCCCAUAAAGAGAUAGACAUUUCUCCGGGAGACGUCAAGAGGGUAUUUGUAGUCGGACACCAUGCCUCGAAGAACGCCUUCAUAAUUUCGGAAUUGUAGUCGUACGUGAAGAGGGAAGCAUAUACAGGAUCAUAGAUCUUCGCGGACUUCAGCUUGUGCUGGCAACGACUGAGAACGUCUUCGGUCCACUCCCAGUACCCUUUGAAGAAUUGAAAGCCGCCGGAAAGCUCGAGAGUAUCUCCCCACUUGACUCUUCCAUUCACGAUGUUGUCACCCAAAGUCGGCAGAAGGCUCGGACCGCUUGACUCUUCCGGAAGCAAGGAUCUGUCGGGUUUAUGAUUUGAUGCUCGCAAGCUAUACACGUACUCGUACUUAUUAUGAGGAUGCUCGUGGGACCAAACGGACAUGCGAUUCGGAGUCGUGAGGCGUGGCCAUUGCUUUGCGUAAGAACCAAUAAGGGGGGCAUAAAUCGUCAAGACGGUUCCUUUGUCAUUCGGUUGGUAGCGAUCGUCAAGAAUUACCAAUUGCUCGUCGCCGGAAGAGGAGAAAGCUUGCUUGAAACAAACCAUCGCAAAACCUGUCAAAACAAUUUCAAAACAAAGAGCAAUUAGUUUGACAAAAAAAAAAGGAGGAAGAAAAAGAACGGGGGCAAGGAACUGCGCUAAAAUCAAAUACCAAAUCUGUCGAGUUGCGAAACCUGGAAAAGGAAAACAGUAUUUUGUUUUGGUAAGCAAUCGAGCAAAAUAAACGGGCAAAACUCGAAUUUAAAAAAAAAAACAAAAAAAAAAAAAACAAAAAAAAAAAACAAAAAAAAACAAAAAAAAAAGGGGAGAAAGCAGUUCUUAGUGUCAUAUUAUCAAACACCUGGCGGACGUGUUCAAAGAGUCUGAUUAUGCGUAUAUUUUAUAUGCAAAACUGACCUGGAAUCGAUUACAAGUAGCAGACAGAAGCAAAUAAUUGGCAGGUCGUUGGAUUUGUGAAUGAAAAAAAAACGAAGAGGGCAUCCCCCUUUUAUAAGGGAUAGAUGAAGCUAAUCCCACAAACCUUAGGUUUCUAAUCAACCAAUCAAAAGAAAGCAUAAUCUCAAUAGAAGAAGGAGUGUUCAACUUGUCCGUGAAACCAAAUUGCAAUGGGAAAAGGAGUGUUUAUUUUGCAGAGAAGAGUCACUGCCCAUUAAACUUCGAUUUGAAUUGGAAGAGAACUGCCCAUAUAGAAUUAAAAUUCUCUCAUCGUACGAUCCUCAUGUUUCACUCGAAGUAAAUUAAAAUUCCCAACUUAUGAUGCAGAGAAACCCGUUGAAGUUAGAAGUUCAAAAUUACGGUGUUGCUGCGCGAGUGUUUCAAAAAAAAAAAAAAAAAAAAAAAAAAAAAAAAGAGAUCGAAGAAUGGGAGAAGUUCUAAGCAUGAGGAAGUCUGAUGCUUCUAGCCGUCCGCACUUGUGAUUUGGGUGGGCCCAUUCAAUUUUAUUAUUAAGUAUGGGUUACGAUUUCAAUGAUCUCACAAAAGGUGCUCAAUUUUGAAAGUGUUGAGCUUGGGAGAUGUUUGUUACAAAACAAAAAAAAAUAAAUAAAUAAAAGUGAUUAUCGUGACUUAUUCACUUCAAGACGCAUCGUCCGUGAACAAGUCUCGUGGGGGCAUUUGUAGAUAAAUAAAUUUUAUCCAAAAGAAAGGGACCAUUGUGCAAUUACGAAACAAGGAAUUCUAUUUAAAUUCUAUGGCCCAUGGCAAUUCCGUAAUUAAAUAUUUAAAUUCAAAUCAAAUCAAGAUUAUGUGCCGUAUAUUGGUAUCUAUAUUUAAAUAUCAAUUACAUAUUUUCUAUUUUAAAUCUAGGGAUUUAAUUAAAUUAAUUCCUAAAUUAAAUAGAUAAUUGAUUUUAAAUAUAUAUUUACCAGUAGAACUAUUUAUUCUCUUCCAAAUUAUAAGGGAUAAAUAUCAAUUAAUUAUUGGCCAAUAGAAUUGUUUCUUCUCUUCCAAGUUACAAGAGAUAAAUAUCAAUUUAAAUCGGGCCAAUCAAAUCGCGCCACAUCAUCAGUAAGGCCCAUCAAGGACUCUUAUUCUACCACUAUAAAUAGGAAUCCUCCCUCCACAAUUAAAAACACAACUGAAGGAGCAGAAAUCGUAGGAGCAAAAUUCUCUCUACAAUUCAAGAAGCAAGGAAGAAGAAUUCGUAGGAGGUAAGAUUCUCUCUCUACAUUCAAAGUGUUCUUCGUCAUAUUCGAGGUGUUCUUGAGCAAAUUCAAGGCGUUCUUCGUCAAAUCUAGCGUUCGAUCCGAGAUAACGGUGCCAAACCUUCGGAUUAACGUUAAUCAAUUCAAGUCAAGAUCACUGGAAGAUUGAAGGGCCAAAUCCAUCAAGAAUUUCAAGAUCUUCAAGUCAACGCCCGUCAAAGUUCAACAAAUCAAGAUCGAAGGAAGAUUGAGGGGCCAAAUCCAUCAAGAACUUCAAAAUCUUCAAGUCAAAUCAAGUCAAAGUUCAACGUUCGAUCCGAGAUUCAAGUCGCAAGACCCUCGGAAGACGUUAUUCAAAUCCAAAUCAAAUCCGGAGAAGAUCAAAUCAACGACUCGUCUCCGAAAUUCAAAGUCAAUCAUAUAUUUUUCUUGAGAGAAUAAUCAGAGGAUUAAAAUAGAGAUUGUAGCCCGCAAUUUAUUUAUUUUAAUUCAAUAAAAUCAUCUUUGUUCAAUUUUUCUUGUUUGUUUAUAUCGCAGAUAAGAAUUUGUUGUUACACUUAUCUUUUUCUUUUUUAAUUUUAAAUUCAUAAUAUAUUUCAUUUCCUACUCAAUUGAUUAUUACUUUAAUUGAUCACAUACAAGGUUCUGAAAUUAAUUAUUAUAUAGGUUUUAAAAACAUGUGAAUAUCUAUGAUUACUUUAUUAGUAUUGGAGUAGCACAUAAAAUUUUAUCUAGUGCGAAUAAGUUAAUUAAACAACUUACUCGAUAUUCGAUUCAAGAUCGUUCUUUAAAAGCUCGUUAUUCAAGUUCAGUUUUUUUUUUUUGCAUAAUGAAUCAAAGAAAUGUUUUUAAUUUAAUAAGAUGUGAAGCUCGAUUCGAGUUCAGCUCAAUUAGUAUAUAUAGUUAUACAAUAAUUUGCCCGACAAAACCAAGUAAUAUAAUAAGAUAAAGUUAUUUUAAAUAUAGAUUGAAUUUGAUUAAAGAAGUGAUGACAUAAACUCAUUCAAAUGCUUUAAUCAACUUGACACUACUAUACAAGAAACAUAAAAGAGAAAACAAUUCACGAAUUGCAUGCGCAUCCAUAUCUUCUUUCCUUUAAUUAAUAUUAUUAGGAUAAAUUACAUCCACCCGAUAUAUGGUCAAAUUGCGAAAAUUCUCUCAUGUUUGGGUAAUUAUAACCACCCCUCAACUAUAAAUUUUCUUACACGUCUACCCUUGUGGUUUAAAAUUUAGUGGAAUAUUCGAGAUCAUAUUGGAUAUUAUCACUUUUGUACCCGUUUUAUCCCAUUCGAACUCCACAUUUUGAAGCAAGGUGAUCAUAAUAUGUGUUUUUUGGCUUGUAUAUAUCAGAUUGUGAUGCAUCAGAAACUGUAUUUUUACACAAAACGUGUACAAACUAGAGCACAUUCCACGAUAUCUAUAUGAUUAUGUUGAAUUUGACACCAUAAGGGUGGAGGUGUAAGAAAAAAUCAUAGUUUAGGGGAUAUAUGUAAUCGUCCAAACAAGAGGAAUUUUUUCGUAAAUUGACCAUACCUCGGGGAGUUAUUGUAAUUUACCCAUAUUAUUAUUAUUAUUAUUAUUAUUAUUAUUAUUAUUAUUAUUAUUAUUAUUAUUAUUAUUAUUAUUAUUAUUAUUAUUAUUAUUAUUAUUAUUAUUAUUAUCAUCAUCUUUGGUUUUAUAUCUUGUCACAUCCUAGUAUUCAUGUCUCCUUUUCUCCCUUUUGAUUGACCGUCAAAUGCGCAUGCGUAUAAGUUACAAACACUCCAUUUGGUUUGAUUCGAUACUAUAUUUUAUAACCACUCCAUUUCAAAUUCAAAUUCUUUAUUGACAUAUGUUAAUCAUUUCAUAUUAAUACCUCAAAUUAAUAUUAAUCAAUUGGGGUGAAUUUAGCCCUAGAUCCAGUUUGGGGCGAGCUUCCCAAAAAUUGAAAUUGAAAUUGAGUGAGUUUAAUUCAAAAGGAGGUGUGCAAAAUUUCUCCAAUCAUUUUAACUUAAGUCCAAAUUUCUAAGAAAACAAAAUUGAGAAUAGAAACUUUGACUUGAAUUGGUAUUUUUCCCAUGUGACAAAAGUAGGGCUGGGCAAAAAUUACCAAAUACCGAUUACCACGGUAUACCUACCACAAAUUACCGAAUAAAUACCGAACUAUCGGUUACCACUGCAUUUGGUACGGUAUCGUACCGUACCAUUUUCUUACGGUACGGUAGCGGUAUUGUAUCUUCAAUACCAUGGUAAUACCGUACCGUACCGAAACUUAUUUUAAAAAUUAGUUAACAUAUUUUUCCAUUUAUAUUGUUAAAUAAAAAAUAAAUAGUCAACAAAUAUUAUUAAAAAAAUAAAAAACAAGAAUAAAGAUAUGAUACAUCCAAUAUAUAUUAUAUAUACAUAAUUAUAAUUUUUUUUUACUAUUUUAUAUUUAUGCAAACUCAAUAUUUGCCUCUCGUUGAAGUUGUUUAGGUCACGUACUUCUUUAGUUUCAAAGUCCAACUAAUCUCUUAUUGGUGGAAUACUUUUUGCCAUAAUUUUCUUCUCCCUUUAUUUCCUCCCUAAUUCUCAACCUUUUGUUUCAUUUGCAUUAUUGCAACAUAGUUUUUUUUCUAUUUCUCUUUAUAUAAACCAUGAAAUUUUUUUGCUCAUUAAUUUCUACAAUUUUUCUAUAGAUAUCUUAGCAAUCAUUAGUUAAUUGAAGUGCUAUUACGGUCGUAUAAUGUACAUUCAUGUAAAUUUCCUGAUUAUCAUAUUCAUUUGCUUAAUUUGUUUUAUUUAAUAUUCAUCUUAAUUAUGAUAUCAUUCGAGUUAAUCAACACAGUGAUGUACGGUAGAUUACCACGUACCGAUCAUACCGUACCGAAACUAACGGUAUACCGCAAUUGUUGGUACGGUAACGGUAUAGAAUUUUUCAAUACCAAAAGAUACGGUAGGUACACGGUAUUGAAUAAAAUGUUCGGUAACCGUACCGAAACCACCCCUAGACAAAAGUGUUGUCUUUUCAGUUUUCAGUAAUAAUAAUAAUAAAAUGUGAAGAGGAGAUUCAACAUAUAUCAAAACCAUUUUAUAACGUUACUGUGCUGUGCAAUGCAUCCUUAUGAUUUUUUGUCUCUUGUCUUUAAAAGUAGUGCAAAUUAUAGUCCAACUUCAAUUCGGUCCAAACAUACAUCCCUUUGUCCAAUGUUUUUGGUCUCCAUUUCACUUAUUGUCUUUGAUUCUUCUUCUUUUUUUCUUUUUUAAAUUUAUUUAUCAUUAAUUCGAUCAUCGUCUGUACUGACAAUGAGUACAAUCGGCAAAAAACGUGCGAAAUCAAUCAACAUAUUAUGUUACUUUCUAGAUUCAACAAUUUUACGCGAUGUGAAUAAGUAUAGAUUUACGCACUACAUUCGUACAAAAUGUAGCAUAUACGAGUGUGACAAAAGUUUUGCUACGGUAAAUGGCCGUACCAAUUAAUACUUUUUUGCUACGGUAAAUUCUAGUAUUUACUACGACUUCAAAAUUGUUAUGUAGUAAAAAGUACCUUUUAUUAUGAUUUUUUACUGUAGCAAAAAAUUUCGUAGUAAUAAACAAAUUUUCUACUAGUGACGGUUGAAAUCUACCCAAUGUAAAUAACCAGAUUUAGCAUCUAAUUGUCCAAAAAUGAAGGUACAAAAUGAAAUCCGAUAUUAAUAACAAAUAAAAGCCAUAAUUAUAAGAAUAUAUCAGACAAAGAAGAACAUAUAUAUAUAUAUAUAUAUAUAUAUAUAUAUAGAGAGAGAGAGAGAGAGAGAGAGAGAGAGAGAGAGAGAGAGAGAGAGAGAGAGAGAGAGAGAGAGAGAGAGAGAGAGAGAGAGAGAGAGAGAGAUUCUUAAAACAAACAAACAAAGUAGAACAGUUACAAACAGAACACACAUGCAUGCAUGCAUAUUUAUCUUAAUUACACUUCAAUCAUAUACAUAUACAUAUAAUAAUAUAUAUACUGAAUAAACCACCUAAAACAUUACUCAGAAUAAUUCAGCAACUUCAUAUCCAAAUGGGCUUUCUGGAAGAUCUAUUUCUUCAUAACUGCAAAUUUCAUUAAUUACCAAAAUAAUAUUAAUAUAAAUUACAAUCAUUAAUAAAAAUAAAAAAUAAAUAAAAUUGGAGUUACAAGAUGAACUAAUUUGUCUUGAGAUAUUAAUUAAUUACCUCUCCGGCGGCUCGUUGAUGCUCGUCUUAACGUGAGUACGUUUGUCUUGACUAGUGCUGGAGCCAUCAGAUGACGACGACUGGCUCGUGAGCAACAACGUAUGAUCUGUCUCCGAGACGAUUUCCUUCCUCUUGAGCUCAACUACUAACAUACACAGAAUAUACAUAUACAAUAAUGUAAGCAUGCAUCCAAAAAAAGAAACAAUUUUUUAAUAUAUAUAUGUAACGAAAAAUGAAUCUUGAAAAAAAAGAAAAAGUUGGAGUCUUGCUUGAAGGAGGCUUGGAUUCUGCAUCUUGAUUUGGAGCGCUGUUAAUUGCAUGCUCGAUUUUCUCCUCCGUCUUUCUGCACGGAGAAUAUACUACAACAUCAAUCACAACAUUUUGAAAUAAUAUUAUUCUAAUUAAGAUAAUUGCAUGCGUAAAAAUCGACGAGAGGUUCGUGUAUGAUACAUCUUUAAAAUUAAAAGGAGAACUUAUAAGAAUUGUAAGACUUGAUUUGUCGUAAUUUUUACGUCGAAAAAUCUGCACAUCAAGAAUUCAACAUAUACGCAUGUGCAUGUAAAAAAACGCCCGUAUUUAUCAGAAAAUGGCACGUAAAUUAAAGUCGAAUAACCGCCACGAGACACUGAAUUAAAUAGGAAUAGCGUCACAAGACACGACAAAUUAAAAAGAAAAACAGAGAAGACAUACGUAAGAGACCGUAUAUUUUAUUACCUAUCAAGGACGAUUGUCUUUCGAUAAGGUUUCACCAUGACGUGCGCUUCACCGAUAAAAUGAGGGUUCGUUUUAGUCAGGACAAGGGCGGCUGUCUCCGGAUAAACAAACGUCACAAAACCGUACAUCCUCUUGUCCAAAUUCGGAAUCCUAACUUCCCUUACCGGCCCAAAAUUCCUGCAAAUUAAAUUAAAUAAUAAUUAAUAUUCUCGCCGUUAAUUACAACAAUGUAACCAAUUAUUAAUACCUAGUAGCUAGACAUAUAAUAAACUUUUUCCUUACUCGAAAUAAUCGUAAAUAUCUAGAUCAGAGAAACUACUCUGCGGAAGAAAAGUCAGAUAAACUUGGCACGAAUUCGCUGCAAUAAAUUCAUCUCCGUUUCUUUCUUCGAUAAAUCUAUUGUACUUGUGUAUAUCAUCCGCCAAAAUAAUCGACUGCCUCCCAUGUGGCCUAUAUUGAAAAUUUAAAAAUAAAAUUAAAAACAUUAAUCACCUUCAGUUUAGCUUAUAUAUAUAUAUAUACAAACACACGUAACGAAAGAUCAUUAAUAAUGACACCUGUCAAUGACGCGAAUGCAUUUCGUCAUGUAAGCAAAAAGUUGAGCAACGGUGCAUUGCGCUUCUCUAAGAUACACGUCGACCAUAAACGCCCUCUCGUACUUAUCGUAAUAAAGAAUGGGCAGCGAAGAAAUCGAGACAGGAAUACCCCUCCUCGAUUUCAAGAGCUCGAUUAUCUCCACCUCGAGUUGCUUGAGGGCUCCACGCGAAAACGUGCGGUCAAUAUUCGGCUCGUUCGGUGGGUUAAGUACCAUAUAGCCCCCGUUCUCCGUUCCAAGUACAUGCAAGAACUUACACGCGCCCCCGUACUUACAAUACCCCUUCUGGAAGUUAUCGCAUAUCAUUGCUCCGGAAGGUUCCGGAAAGUGGGGGCAGAAAUCAUGCACAUGACAGUAUUGCAUGAACUGAUCUUCCAAGGGCAAGAUCAGAUGAGGUUGUUGGAAGUUAUGAACCGAUGGGUGGUGAUAAGUGGCCGGGAUCGUAGCUAGAGGAAUAUUCCGUUGUCCGGUUUCGAGUGGGGAACGAGAUGAAGAAGGGGUGAAGGGGGUGAAGUUUGUGGGGAGUUUUGUUUUGGGGGGUGAGAGUAGUGGAGUACUAGGGUUUGGAGAUGAGGUGAGGUCUUGUUUGACUUUUUCGAUCAACGAGCGGAGUAGGUAUUCGGGUCCGAAGGCUAAACGGAUCAUUUCGAGUUUGGAGUAGCCUUUCAGGAGGAGAUAACCGAUUAUUUUGGAGACGUUUUCCGGGUCGAGAUCUUGAAUUCUUUCGAAAACGGCUUUUGUUGACUCGGAGUAGUUCAUCUUCAAACUCAACCUGUAUAUUAAACAACAAUUAAUUAAUUGUGUAUAUAGUGUGUAUUUAUGUAUGUAUGUAUAUAUAAGAAUGGCACAACAUAUAUUAAGAAAUAGUUGGAGAAAAUGAAGAAAGAAAGCAAAAUCAAAUUAAAGAAUAGAAUCAAAUCAACUCAAAAUGCAUGGAUAUAUACAUAGGCAUAUCAUAUUAGUUAAAUUUUGUAAAUUUCACUAAUAUACCAUCAAACUGACAUUUUUGCAAACGGCAAUUUCAAGCUAAUUAAAAUGACUAAUUGGUUAAUUAAACUCAUAUACAUAUAAUGGUGUGAUUAAAGCUAUAGCGACGACGUUAAUUUCGAUGCAAGAACAAGAACAAUCACCAACAAACAGUAUUUAACUACUAAGAUUAGACAAGCACAAACACGAGCUAGGAUAAAUGAUGAAUGUGCAAAUAAAACGAUCUCUUUAUAUUUGAUGGAAAACGGAGCAAUUAGAAAUUAACAAAAAGAGCACGAAAUUUAAUCUGCAUGAACCAUUAAUUAAUUUAAAAAGAAGAUCUUCUUUCACUACAAGGAAACAUGCAUUGUACAAGAAAUGAUCCAUUUUCUUGCAUGCAAGAUCAUAAAGAUCAUAUCUUUACAAAGAAUUUGCCAAUAUGAAGAAAAACCCAUGUCGAUUGAAGUGUUGAAAAGGAUUAUUAAUGAAAAAAAAAAGAUCAAAUUUUUAAAAGAAAAACAGUUCUUGAAAAAAAAAAAAACCCACCAAAAUCUUUAGCUGCAGAGAAGAUCGAGGCCGAAUGAACACCGAGUUUCAGUCGCAGAGUUGAGAAGAAGAAGAAGAAUAGUUGAUCACUGAGAAAAUGUGGUUGGCAUAAUAUAAUUGUAAUAUUUGGUGGUGGUACGGUGGGUAUAUUAAUUAAGAUAUAUAUGACAUACAUAUAUUGAUAUGACUCCAAAAUUGCUCACGAAAAUUAAGAGGAGAAAAAGGACACACAUCGAUAAAGGUAUUGUCUUUUGCUCUCAUUUCUCGCCUACUUUCAGUUUCUCUAUUUCUUCUUCUGCUUCUUCUGCAAUUGUAUUAUUAGUUUACAAAACCCACCGAUAUAACUCAAAUCAUCCAUUGUUUAUAUCGAUCUCCACGUACACCUUGUCAAUUCAUUAUAUAUUUUUUAUUUCUAUAUAUUUUCUAGCAAUAUAUAUAUAUAUAUGGAACCAUGCAUCCAUCACAGCAGAUAUAGAAACCAGAAGUGUAUACCUAACUUUUAAGGUUAGCAUGGGACAAAACCCACCUCUCUCCUUUCAUCUCCUUAAUUUAUAUUUUUAUAUUUAUUUUUGUGUGGGCCCCAGGCCCAGAGAAAAACAACGUACGUAGGCAGUUGAUGUAAGAGAGCAUGCAAACUGAAAAUGAGGAUGUAAUUACUGCUUUUUUUUUUAGGUAGUAUGGUACGAAUUAGUUAGAAAGGCAGAUGAUCGAUCGUAUCGAUCACAUUUAAACUCACCUACUGUAUUUUGCAUGCAUGCCAUUUGUCUCAUGACUACUUUCUUUAUCAUGCAUGCAUCAUCUAAACCCCACCACCGAUAUAUCUCCCUUGUUUGUCUGUUGCGGACGAGUUGUUUCGUUUCUUGCAAGUCGAGACUCUAGUUCAAUGGGGAGAGCCAGCAGGGCGCGGAUCAUCGCUUCGUUUUGAACCACAAGUGGUACUUCCCUCAAUUCAUGUCAUGUUGCUGGCUUUCCGCCAGCUUUCUUUUAUCUUUGGGCCGAAUAUAGUCACACUCGUCGCCUAUAACUACCCUACAUUGGGCUUAGUGGUCAAUGUGGGAGUGGAUCUGAGCUUUAUUUGUAAAAUUAUUAUUACUUGGACUUUUAGGACAAUCGAGCCCAUAUCAAGGAGGAUUUAAAUUGGAAAAAAAAGUUAAAAACAAUUUCUUAAUAAAUGAAAUAUUAUAAUUAGAUGGGCCAACAUAUUUUUCAAGAUCCCAUUAAAUAUACUUAUUAUAAUUGUUAGACACUUGGUCUUGGAGUACGUAGGCCUGUUGAAAGAAAGCCCAAACGGUGUACUUUAACUCAUUGCAGCCAGUAAUUAAUUGUAGGGUAAAUUACAAACACCCCUGAGGUAUGGUCAAAUUACAAAACCCCCCUCUUGUUUGGAUAAUUACAUCUAUCCCCUUCAGCUAUGGUUUUUUCUUAUACCUCCACCCUUAUGGUACCAAAUUCAACAUAAUCAUCUAGAUUGCGCGGAAUGUGCUCUAGUUUGUACUCGUUUUGUGUAAAAAUACAGUUUCCGAUGCACCACAAACUGAUAUAUACAAGCUAAAAAACACAUAUUAUGAUCAUCUUGCUUCAUAAUGUAUAGUUCGAGUGGGAUAAAAUGAGUACAAAAGUGAUAAUAUUCCAUAUAAUCUCGAAGAUUCCACUAAAUUUGAGGAGUUGAGGUGGUGGUUGUAAUUAUCUAAACAAGAAGGGUGUUUUUGUAAUUUAAUCAUACCUCAUGGGUGUUUGUAAUUUACCCUUAAUUGUAAUAAUUUGCAAGUUUUAUUUUUUAAUUAGGGUAAAUUACACCCACACCCCUGGGGUAUACUUAAAUAACUUUAAGGUCCUUGUGGUAUCGAUAAUUACAUUAACCCCCUUGAAACGUAGUUAUAAACUCUAAUGGUAUAAUGCAUUGGAUACGUUAUUACGAUAGAGUUCUAACGGACUAUUGGUUUCAGGAAGUGGUGAAGACAACAAAGAGUUAUGAGUGAUUUAAGAAAUAUUGGGGGAGCCAUGUCACCCUAUAACUCCCCAUAACUCUAUGUUACCUCCAUAACUAUCUAAAAGUAAUAGUCCAUUAGAACCCUAUCGGAAUAAUGUAUCUAAUGCAUUAUCCCGUUAGAGCUUUUAACUACCUUUCAGGGGGGUGAGUGUAAUUAUCGAUACCACAGGGACCUUACAGUUAUUUAAGCAUACCUCAGGGGUGUGGGUGUAAUUUACCCUUUUAAUUAUUUAUUUACUUUGAGUCUUACAAAUCAAAAUCAAAGUCUACUAUUUGCAUUUGAUUUUCUAGAUAAUAAAUUGUUAAAAACUUAUAAAAUUAAAUUUGUUCUUGCAAAUAAACAAGUUUGACAACCCCCACCGCCACGUUCUCUUCUCACCGGCGCAACCCCACCCUUGAUUCACCUUCCUCCACCACCACCACCGCCACUGCCGCCGGCAGCUCCACCAUCCGUCCGUCUUCCUAUUUAUAGAUCCACGUAGUAUAUGUAAUCUAUUCUUCUGAAAUUAAUUUGUUGCGAGGAGAUAAAUUAUACCAAAAAUCAGAAUUUAAUGUAUCAGUGGAGGAAAUUCGACUUCUUCGAGGAGAAGAAGAUCAAAAUUCCGGAGGAGAUAGAGGCCGGAAUUCAAUGCUGCUCCAGCGGCCGAGGCAGGAUCGUCUUAGGUUCCCAAGACGGCACCGUUUCGCUUCUCGAUCGUACCCUCCAGCUCCACCGCUCCUUCCCCGCUCACUCCGCCUCCGUUCUCCUACUCCAACAACUCAAGGUAUCUAACAUUUAAUUAUCCCCAAUUUCAUCCUGGGUUUUAUAAGGUUUUGUGUGUGUGUGUGUGUUUGAUCCAAUUGUUCUUCUGAUUGUGACAAAUCGAUGUUUUCUUAUCAUUAAAACUCUAGGCUUGACAAUUAAUUUUAAUGCUAUAAUUUUCAAUUAAGCUCAAUUAGGGUAUUUUUUUCAUUGUGUUCCUGGUCCAGUAACCUGUGAUUUCCAUACUUUACUUAACGCAAAAUUUCGUUUUCUGUGCUGGCGAAUUAGCAACGGAACUUCUUAGUGACAGUUGGAGAAGAUGAACAAAUGCCGCCACAACAAGCGGCUAUAUGCCUAAAGGUUUUCGACCUUGAUAAAAGGCAAGAAGAGGAGUCGAGUUCAUCAAGUCCAGAGUGCCUCCAAAUUCUGCGGAUUUUUACCAACCAAUUUCCCGAAGCAAAGGUACAGUUUAUGCAAUAUAAACACCCUUAUUAUUAAAUGUGUACUUUGUAUAGGCGUGCUUGUGAAGUUAAAAUACCCUUAAAAUGGCUGUUCAACAGAUCACAUCUUUCGUGGUUUUCGAGGAAGCUCCACCGAUUAUAUUUAUUGCACUUGGAUUGGACAACGGUUGUAUUUAUUGCAUUCAAGGCGACAUUGCCCGUGAAAGAAUUAAACGCUUCAAGCUAGAGGUUGACAGUGGUCAGCCUGGCAAAACAAAGUCAGCUAUUACAGGGCUCGGAUUUCGUGUGGAUGGUCAAGCGUUUCAACUCUUUGCUGUCACAUCAAGUUCAGUGAGCUUGUUUAACUUGCAUGCUCAAACACCUACUGGACAAACACUUGAUCACAUUGGUUCCGAAACUGCUAGUGUAGCAAUGAGUGAUCGCUUGGUUGGUUACGCUCUCUUUAUUUCAGUCUUUGUUCUAAAUUAUAAAGUAAAUGAACUAAACUCUUUUUUUUUUCUUCUUUUUUUGGGAAUUAGGAACUGAUUAUUGGUCGGCCCGAAGCUGUGUAUUUCUAUGAAGUUGAUGGCCGAGGCCCGUGUUGGGCUUUUGAGGGAGAGAAAAAGUUCCUCGGCUGGUUUCGUGGGUACCUUUUAUGUGUUAUUGCUGAUCAAAGAACUGGGAAGAAUACUUUCAACAUUUACGAUCUAAAGAACCGUUUAAUAGCCCAUAGUAUCGCAGUUCAAGAAGUUUCCCACAUGCUCUGUGAAUGGGGUACAAUCGUACUCAUAAUGGCCGACAAAUCUGCCCUUUUUAUCGUGGAGAAGGAUAUGGAGAGCAAGUUGGAUUUGCUUUUCAAGAAAAAUCUAUACACGGUAGCUAUUAAUCUUGUCCAGAGCCAGCAAGCUGAUGCUGUGGCAACUGCUGAGGUGCUGAGGAAAUACGGCGACCAUUUGUACAGCAAACAAGACUAUGACGAAGCGAUGGCUCAGUAUAUACUCACGAUCGGUCAUUUAGAACCUUCGUAUGUCAUUCAGAAGUUUUUAGAUGCACAGAGAAUUUACAAUUUAACGAAUUACUUGGAGAAGUUACACGAGAAGGGGCUUGCUUCAAAAGAUCACACCACUCUUUUGCUCAACUGUUACACGAAACUAAAAGACGUUGACAAGCUGGAUCUAUUCAUUAAAAGCGAGGAUGAACAUAAAUUCGAUGUGGAAACUGCGAUAAGGGUAUGCAGAGCUGCUAAUUACCACGAGCACGCGAUGUAUGUUGCAAAGAAGUCAGGGAAGCAUGAAUGGUACUUGAAGAUUUUACUCGAGGACUUGGAUAGGUACGAUGAGGCGUUGCAGUAUAUAAAUAGCCUCGACCCAAGUCAAGCCGGGUUGACCAUUGAAGAGUAUGGGAAGAUUCUCGUAGAGCACAAGCCGAAGGAGACAAUUCAAAUACUGAUGAGGCUUUGUACCGAAGAAGGAGAACCGGCUAAAGGUGGAACCUUUAUAACCAUGCUGCCAUCUCCUGUCGAUUUUCUCAAUAUUUUCGUGCACCAUCCACAGUCGCUUAUGGAAUUUCUCGAAAAAUACACCAACAAAGUGAAGGAUUCUCCUGCUCAAGUCGAAAUCAACAACACGCUAAUGGAGUUGUACUUGUCUCAUGACUUGGACUUCCCUUCUCUUUCACAGACUGGCAGCAAUGAAAACGGCGAUCUUGGAACGAAUAGAGGUUCAAAUGCUGCUGCAACAACUUCAAGAACAGAGAGUAAUGGAAACGUAUUUUCUGAUGAUGCAAUCGAGGAGAAAUAUCGCAAAGAGAGACGUCGAAAAGGGCUGAUCUUGCUGAAAAAUGCUUGGCCCGCCGAACAGGAGCAGCCACUGUACGAUGUCGACCUUGCGAUAAUUCUGUGUGAAAUGAACUCGUUUAAAGAAGGGCUAUUGUAUCUGUACGAGAAGAUGAAACUGUAUAAAGAGGUCAUUGCAUGUUAUAUGCAGGCGCACGAUCACGAAGGUUUAAUUGCGUGCUGCAAGAGAUUAGGGGAUUCGGGUAAGGGCGGUGACGCAUCUCUUUGGGCAGAUCUGUUGAAGUACUUUGGUGAACUUGGAGAAGAUUGCUCGAAAGAAGUCAAAGAAGUUUUGACUUACAUAGAAAGGGAUGACAUGUUGCCUCCCAUUGUAGUUCUUCAAACCUUGUCGAGAAAUCCAUGCCUUACUCUUUCUGUGAUUAAGGAUUAUAUAGCUCGAAAGCUGGAAAAGGAGUCGAAGCUGAUUGAUGAGGAUCGGAUAGCUAUUGAAAAGUAUCAGGUAAUUUUUUCAUUUCACUUAAGGCAUCUUUCUUUUGUCAUUCGAUAAGUAAAGAACUAGAGUUUGUUAUACUGCAAGAACUUACUGACUAUAUCCACUAUCUCAACAUAUACCUGCAUUAUUAUAGAUUGUUUUUGGUUUUGGAUUUUAAAUUCUGCAUUAGGUUUUUAAACGGUGCUUUAGAAGUUUCUUCAAGAAUUUCUGACAGUAUCUAGUUAAGACUGUUCUUCUGCAGUAUACUUUUAGUCUUCUCUUUCAUCUGGUUCCAAAUUUCAAAUUUCUCCAAUAUUAAAUCUUCACUGCUUGUCCGUCUAUAGAAAUGCAGUUGAUUCUUGAUUCCAUUUUAUAUUCUGAUUAUUCAACUGCAAAAUAAAAUACGAGCCGGAUUAUAGAUGAAAUUUGAUUUCCAGGACUUGGCGUCUUCAAAUAUGGUCAUAAUCUAAUGACGUCAUUUGUAGAAUCUUUUCAAUGAUGUCGAUACUUUCAAGAAUCAUCUGUGUACGAAACUUGUUCAAUUUUUGAAGGAGCAAUUGUUUUGUUCCUGCAUUUGCUAUUUUCGGUUUUCUUUGGCCGGUACUGCAAACAUUGUGUGUACAAUAUGUAUUGUAAAAAACAAGCUCAAACCAUUUGUUUAUUUGCAGGAGGAAACAUCAGCCAUGAGAAAAGAAAUCCAAGAUCUUCGGACAAAUGCAAGAAUAUUCCAGCUCAGCAAGUGCACCGCUUGUACUUUCACUCUCGAUCUCCCCGCGGUACAUUUCAUGUGUAUGCACUCUUUUCAUCAACGGUGCCUAGGUGACAACGAGAAAGAAUGUCCAGAGUGUGCUCCCGAGUACAGAUCUGUCUUGGAAACGAAGAGAAACUUAGAACAGAACUCCAAAAACCAAGAUUACUUCUUCCAACAAGUUAGAAGUUCAAAGAAUGGCUUUUCUGUAAUUGCUGAGUAUUUUGGUAAAGGCAUCAUCAGUAAAACUACUAAAGGAUCUUCGGAAGCUAUUAAACCGACCAAUGAUUACUCAAACGGCAGCUUUUGAGAUUUUUUGUUUUCCGGCAAUAAAAGUCGAAAUGAGACAUUAAUAUAUAUAUCUCUCUAUCUUGUUAGUGCUUGAUUUGGUUUGUGAUUUCUUUCCUAUAAACGGUGUUGUAAUUUGGCCGAAAGUGCCGAUAUUACGUGUUGUAGUUUUCGGGUUUUUUUUCUUCUAAUGUAUCAUUGGAUUUGUUGUGCAUUUCUUAGGGUAUGUUUGGUUGAUUCUUUGGUGACAAUUGAAUUAUAGAAACAAGAUGAUUCUUGAAUGAAUUAUUGUGCUAUGUAAUGUAAUAAUCUGAUUUUUUUCUGAGUGGGUUUGGUCAAACAUGAAACCUAUGUUAUAAUAUUUGUUGUUAUAUUACUGGAACUAUAUACUAGCAGUGCUGGUAUGAAAGAUGAAACAUCAUUUCAUGGGCAAGGGUAGUUUGGACAAAGCACAUGAAAAGAAAAAGUAGAUGGGGCCAUUUAAUUCAGCAACAAAAGAGGACAAAAGAUAGUUUAAGUUUUGAGUAGGCCAAACCCCAGUUUCUAAAAAGUUAAAGCCAAACACUUCCCACAAUAAUAAUAAUAAUAAUAAUAAGGGUAAAUUACACCCACACCCUUGUGGUAUGCUUAAAUAAUUUUAAGGACCCUAUGGUAUCGAUAAUUACACUCACCCCUGAAACGUAGUUAAAAACUCUAACGGAUAAUGCAUUGGAUACAUUAUUCCGAUAGGGUUCUAAUGGACUAUUAAUUUUAGCUAGUGGUGGAGAUAAGAUAGAGUUAUGGGGUGACAUGACUCGCCCAAUAUUUCUUAAAUCACCCAUAAAUAUUUGUUGUCUCCACCACUUCCUGAAACCAAUAGUCCAUUAGAACUCUAUCGUAAUAACGUAUCCAAUGCAUUAUCCCAUUAGAGUUUAUAACUACGUUUCAAGGGGGUGAGUGUAAUUAUCGAUACUAUAGGGACAUUAAAGUUAUUUAAGCAUACCUCAGGGGUGUGGGUGUAAUUUACCCUAAUAAUAAUAAUAAAGUAUAAACAACUCUCUCUUUCUCUCCUUUCAAUACUCUCUCUCUCUCUCUCUCUCCUGUUUCUCUCUCUUCCACACAAUACACACAGGUACCAACACACACUGAAUUGAAAGACUUACACGCACUCAUUCAUCACCUAAUGUAGGAAAUCACGACCCUUAAUUCAUCGAUUAUUGGAAGGUUUGGAUUUUGCUUUUACAAUAAUUGCCAUCAACUGUAUUUCUCUACUGUGCUGUACUAAUACAUUUUGUGAUUAAAUUCAUUACUAAUCUCAAUUGCACGCCGUUUGUUGAAUUUUAGGUUACUUUUUUUUUUUCUCUCUCUUUCGAGAAAGGGUUGGUUUCUGCAAAAUGAGCAAAGAAAAAGUGAGGUCACCUGAGCCUCUUGAUUUCUUCAUUUGGACUGUUGAGGUAGUAAAGCUUUCAUUUUUCUUUUUAAUUCUUCAAUUCGUUUUGUUUGAUCUUGUUUUUUAAAUUUUAAUUCUUUGGAUCUUGUAAUUUUUUUGUAAUUCUUUGUGUAUUUAUUUUAUUUUAUUUGAUUAUUUACCUGUUCCAGUUGAUCAAAUUCUUGCUGCUUGCUUGGUUAGUGUUGAUUUUGGGGGUGGGGGUGUUGAAAUAAUCAUGAAAAUAUAUUUUUUUUAAUUGAAGUUUUUGUGUUUAGUCAAUUUAUGGUGUACUGAUUAUUUUAUAAUGUUUUGGUGAUUUUUAGUUUGAAUCUUGACUCUUGUUUCUAAUGAAUGUGCAAAAAAUUGGGUUUGAAAACUGAAUUGUAAAAUGAGUUGGUUAAACUAGCAUUUGAUCCAUGUUAAUUAUAGAGCUAUAUAAACAAAUUACUCUGCUAAGAAAUAAAAUAUGCUUCGUGUUCGUUUGAAGGACCUGAAAAAGAAAAAUAGAAGACAGGGUAAGAGAAUAAUUGUUUAAUGGAAGUAUUUCUCGAUCAAUUUUUCGUUUUUUUGGAUUUAUUUGUUCAUAGGAUGUUGGCCUGUGGUUGGAAGAGAUAAAUCUCGGAAGUUAUCGACAAAUUUUCAAGGAAAAUAGGGUUAAUGGAGAGUAUUUGGAAGGGAUGUCGAUGUUUACGACUGAACAGAUACUUCGGUUCAUAAGGAAGUGCCACAUGAAAUGGGGUGAUUUCAUAACUUUGUGCAAGGAGCUCAGACGAAUAAAAGGUCCCUUUCGCCCUCUCUUCUUACCCUUCUUCCUCUUUAUAUCUGUCUUAACCGUGUAAAAUAUCGUCCGAUCACAUCUUAAACUGCAUCAGUUGCUCGUGAUUAAGUUAAUGGUCCCUCGAUGUUUAUGGUAUUUCUAGUUGAAUCUCUAAUUUGUCAGUUCAAAAGACAUAGUGCCUGUUUGUUUUCUUAAUUGCAAACGUGAUGGAUGAUCAUUACUACAUAAUGAGUUGUAGGAUUUAUAUGUUUAGUGUAUAGACUGAAACUUGAUUAUUGUAUUGUUUUUGUUAUUUAUUCUUUGAUUUCAAAUGCGGAUCGAAGAAAAAGCCAAAAAAAUUAUGACAUCCUCCUUAACUCAUCCACUACUUACACCAACUAUUGCACCAAAUAUAAAGACCAACCCCAGCAUCUAUGGAGAUGAUAUACCAAAAGUCAAUACGCAAAUGUCUAUAUUGCCCUCACCAGCCACAUGACCGAUAAUUUCAAAAAAAAAAAAGAAAAAAAAGAUUAUAUUUAUAGACAUAGCAGUUCAUUAUGGGGAUCUCUCCUGUUAUACACUUAUACUAUUCUGCCUAAUUUGUUUGUGAAAAAUAUCAUCUGAUUUUAUCGUUCUGAUGUUCUUGAAGCUCGUGCUCUUGGUCUUAAUUACAUCAACUAUUUCUGAAAAUUCAGCACAUAUAACAUAGGACCGUCUCUAUUAACAUGGAAUUGCAUAUUUUUUACUGAAUGAUUAUAAUCAUGCAUCAGUGGCUUGCUUGAAAGGGGAGCAAAAGGUACGCAGGCCUUGGUGGGCUUCGUCUUGUCUAUCACUUGUAUUCGUCAAGGCUGAGAAACGCAACAGGCAAUCUCGAGUUGUUUCGUUGAAGCUCGAACCUUGAUCUUGGUUUUCAUGUAUGUAUAUGGGAUGUGUACUUUUCUUAAUUUUUAAUUUCAUGUUCAAGUCUAGAUAUAGGAAAGCUAUACGUAUUUCCUUUUUUUUUUUUUUUUUUUUAUGUCUUAAGUUUUGCUAAGAAAAGUCGGUUCUUCUUCGGAGAACCUUCCCCUUUGUCUCGAGUUCUUCGAGAUCAGGAGAUACUAUUACAGUUUACUUAUGUUUGGGAUUUGUUGAGGGAAAACAUUAUAUAUAAGACAACAUGUUUGGUUCUUGUAUGUUUUAAGUGUCGGAUGUUAUUGUUGUUGAUGUCCGUGGGUGAAUCAGAAACAUCCUCGACGAAAACUUCGAAAUGGAUUUUCAAGUAUUUGUUAAAAUUGUUACAAAAUCGUUAUUUUUACGCCAAAAAACACAUUGUGCUUGUAAAAUCUAGACGUCUAAGGUCACAUUCGGGAUUUCGUAGCUCGGAUGUGUCGUUAGACAUCCAAUUUUUUUCUUUCAAUGUAUAGUCACGAAUUUAUCAAAAUUUAUUUUAGGAUGAACCCCAAAAAAAAAAAAAAAAAGUAAAAACAAAGUCUACAUUAAGGAAUUAAUGUAUUAUAUAUAUAUAUAUAUAAAUGAUUAAAUGUAUAAAUAUAUGGGUAAAUUCCACUUUACUCUCUCGUACUCUGCAUGAGAGUCACUUUACCCCCUCGUACUCUCAAUUUUAUCGAUUUACCUCCUUGUACUCGUACAAUUUCCCAAUACAACCCUUUCCUUCAAUUUUUGCCAAUUUAGACUCUAACGCCAUUUGGUCAACUCUGUAAAUUACAAAAUUGCCACUGCCUAUAAUGCGUCGUUUCUCCUCCGUCAAUAUUGUCAUUUCUUCUUCUCCCACCACUUCCUCUUCCAAGAUAUCCCCAAAUUGAACCCCUAACUUAGUAAAAAUCAAGACCCAAAAAUUGAUCAAUUCCACCCAGUGCAAAGAAAAAAAUAUAUGAAUGUGCGAAACUUUCUCUUUUCUAAUCUCGAGAGUCAAAAUCGAAAAAAUUCAAUAUUUACGUCAAUAUUUUGACUCUUGACCAAAUGGCGUCAGAGUCAAAAUCGAAAAAAGUUGAUGAAGAGGGUUGUAUUGGGAAAUUGUACAAGUACAAGGGGGUAAAUCGACGAAAUUAAGAGUACGAGGGGGUAAAGUGGUUCUUGGGCAGAGUACAAGGGGGUAAAGUGGAAUUUACCCUAAAUAUAUAGAACAAAAAUCAACAAAUGGUUUUAUAAUUAUAGAGAUGCAAACUUCAAAUACCAAGUUGUACUUUGGGUAAAACUUGUUCAAAAUUCAAAUGAAACUAUGAAUUGUUGCUAUGUUGGAGGAACUCUAUUUUAAAAAUUAAAAUUUACAGAAAUACCCUCCACCAUUACCAAAAUUCAAAAAAUGACUGACAAAAAAACAGAAAAUAGAACGAGCUUCUCCUCUGAAACAAAACCCUAAACCCCAUAACCAGAAGCAGUGAAGACGAUUGAUUCGAACAUUAGCAGCUAUGUUCUCUCCCCCCACUAAAAAGUCCAGCUUAACUUCACGCAAAAAUGUCGCUAACCGAAGUGAUGAUAUUUCCACCCCGCUCGCCGACAAUCGACGACAACUGCUCGACAGUCCCGCCGUCCCCAAUCGCCCCACCACCGGAACCCCUGCCCCUUGGUCUUCGCGCCUUUCCGUCCUCGCCAGGUAUUAUCAAAUGCAUAUGCGCCUAAUCACUUCUCUCUCUCUCUCUCUCUCUCUCUCUCGUUCAUAUGUUGAGAUUAGCUCUGGGAGAACAGAUAUACGUUUUAAUUUGGACAUUUGUGCUCUGUUGCUUGUUUCAUGAUUUUGUCAUUUCCAUUGCAAGUGAUAGUGGCAAUAGGGUUUACGCAUAUCAAUUAUAAUUUUUUUUUGUAUGUAGGUAUCCUGAAAAUUACGAGGAGUUGACAGGAGAAUCGUGAUUUAUAUGUUAUACUUUAUGCUCUAGUCUCUCNNNNNNNNNNNNNNNNNNNNNNNNNNNNNNNNNNNNNNNNNNNNNNNNNNNNNNNNNNNNNNNNNNNNNNNNNNNNNNNNNNNNNNNNNNNNNNNNNNNNGUUCGGAGAGACUAGAGCAAUAGGUCACAAAUUUCGUUAUUACUUGGCCUUCUGAAUCUGCUUUUCUGGAUAUUCUACCACAAAUUUCUAAUGCAAAUUUGUUACAGUAAUAACCUUCCUAAAUCCUUCCAGGGGAUGUUGGUUGUCUGUUUGGAUGCUAUUGUAUCAUCCUUUAAUUUUGUUGAUUUUGUUGAGAAUGCAUGGUAGAUUGUAGAUGUGGAAACAUGAAAAAAGAUAAGGAAAGACUGUGUCAUGCCUUUGUUUGAUUUGACGUUGGCUUGUCUUUUCAGAAUCACACCUGCAAAGAGAAGUGACAGAGGAGAUGAGGUAGAUGCUGUUCAGCCUGUAUAUGUUGGGGAGUUCCCUCAAAUAGUACGUGAAGCGCAAAUCACGCUAUCACAAAAUCGUGUUUCUGGUUGGUCCAACUUAUUCCCAAAAUACAUAAUAUGGUUAGAUUUGUUUCAAUUUCUUUCUAAAGAUUUUAAUAUUAGUCCAUCUGGCAGCUGAUACAUCUAUCUCUGGUGGAAUGGACAAGGUAACAUCUCUAGCGUGGAUUAUCUGUGGAAACAGGGUCUUUGUCUGGAAUUACUUAUUACCUGCUGCUUCAAGAAAAUGUAUUGUCCUUGACCUUAAUUCUUGCAUAUCAGAAAGUGGAGACACGGACAAAAGUUCGUAUCAAACUAACAAUUGGUUAGUCUGUAUUGUUAACUGGGACACCUCAAAGAAAACUGGUAUCAGUGUUGCUCAACAGACCAAUUCUGCAGGGAUUGUUAUGUGUAACAGAAAAACUCGCUCUCUAAUUUUCUGGCCAGAUAUACAUAAUGCUAACAGGGUCCCUCCAGUCACUUCGGCUGCUUUUUCGGAGGUAGAAGUGAUUUAUCCACGACAAAAUGGAAAAUCCAUCUCAAGCAAGCAGAGGCAAAUUGGCAACAAUGGUGCAAAAUCUUGUUUUGUCAACUCUUUGAUUGCCUCAGCAAUUCCUGCUGCCACCAACAGUUGUGUUGCUAUUGCAUGUUGUUCGAAUGGUAUGCUUUGGAGAUUUCUCUGCCGCCCUUCUGGUAUUCAUUGUGACCAGAUUGAGCAUGGCAUGUCAAAUAUAUUUUAUCAAGGAAGUGAUAAUAGCACACUUGUGGCAAGCAAGGGUUAUCCAAGGUCAUUGAUCUGGCACUCUUUUAGUCAUUCAUCAUCGGACACCACGAGACAGUUCCUUCUACUAACUAAUCACGAGAUACAGUGCUUUGAAGUAAUUUUUUUUUCUGAAUUUGACGUGUCAAAGCUUUGGUCACAUGAAAUUGUUGGCACCGACGGUGAUUUGGGUAUUCAGAAGGAUCUUGCUGGACAAAAGAGAAUUUGGCCUCUUGAUUUGGAUGUUGAUUGUGAUGGCAAGGUUAUAACUAUUCUUAUUGCUAUCUUUUGCAAGGAUCGGGGGGUCACCAGUUCAAGCUACACUGAAUACUCUCUGCUGACCAUGCAAUAUAAAUCUGGAGUAGAUAUUGCGAAGCCAAUAGGUGAAAACAUAUUGGAGAAAAAGGCUCCUAUCCAAGUGAUUAUACCUAAAGCUAGAGUAGAGGAUGAAGAUGUUUUAUUCUCAAUGAGAUUAAAGGUAGGUGGAAAGCCAGCUGGCUCUGCUAUGAUUCUCUCAGGUGAUGGUACUGCAACUGUUUCCCACUAUUGGAGAAACUCCACCAGACUCCAUCAGUUUGAUCUGCCUUAUGAUGCUGGAAAAGUUCUUGAUGCUUCAGUAUUCCCAUCGGCAGACGACAGUGAAGAUGGAGCUUGGGUUGUACUCACAGAGAAAGCUGGAGUUUGGGCUAUACCUGAGAGGGCUGUCUUAAUGGGUGGAGUUGAACCACCUGAAAGAAGCUUGUCUCGUAAAGGGAGUUCUAAUGAUGGACCUUUACAGGACGAGAGAAGAAACUUCUCUGGUGCCGGAAACAUUGCUCCAAGAAGAGCCAAUUCAGAAGCUUGGGAUGCAGGAGAUAGGCAAAGGACGAGCAUGGCUGGAGUUGUGCGUAGAAGCCCUCAAGAUGAAGAAUCAGAAGCUUUACUGAGUCAGCUUUUCCAUGAUUUUCUCUUGUCUGGGAAGGUUGAUGGCGCACUUGACAAACUUAGAAAUUCAAGAGCAUUUGAAAGAGAGGGCGAAACAAAUGUAUUUACCAGGACAAGCAAAUCAAUUGUUGACACUUUAGCUAAACAUUGGACAACAACCAGGGGCCCUGAGAUUGCUUUGUCUGUUGUGUCCACACAACUUGCAGAGAAGCAACAGAAGCAUCAAAAGUUCCUUCAGUUCCUUGCUUUGUCCAAAUGCCAUGAGGAAUUGUGUUCCCACCAGAGUAUGUCAAUUGUUUCCAAUAUAUUUAGUUUCUGGCUAUCCUUCCAUGAUGUUAUUUUAUUAUGAAUAUCUGGUUACUUUGUUCUGAUAUUAUUAAUCUACAGAAUCUUAAGGAUGCUUGCAUUUAUAAGGUGGUACUUAAUAUGUUCUAAUUUUCAUGCCCAAAACAGUCAGAUUUUUUUCUCAGUUUGUUUAACCAUUGACCUGUCACUGACUUGAUGAAGUAGCUAAAAUAAUCCGUAUUGUGUAUAUGCACUAGACUUCUGAUUGUCCAUAAAUGCUGCUGUUUUAAACGUUUCUCCACAUUUGCUGAUUAAUUAUAAACCUACUAUCAAAUCUAAAUAAUUGUUUACUGACCAGGGCAAUCUAUGCAAAUUAUCAUGGAACAUGGGGAAAGGCUUGCCGGCAUGAUCCAACUGAGAGAACUGCAAAACACGAUUAGUCAUGCCAAUGCAUCCGGAUCUGGCUCUUAUCAUGCGUCAGAUGCUCGAACUUCAGGAGCUCUUUGGGAUCUUAUCCAGUUAGUCGGUGAGAGAGCUCGCCGGAACACAGUUCUUUUGAUGGAUAGGGAUAACUCUGAAGUAUUUUAUAGUAAAGUUUCCGACAUUGAGGAAGUAUUCCAUUGCUUAGAGAGACAGCUUGAAUAUGUCAUCAGUAUAGAUAUGCCGAUUCUUGUUCAAUUUCAAAGUUCUUGUGAACUCUCAGAUGCUUGUGUGACGUUAUUCCGUGCAGCCAUCGAAUAUAGGAGUGAGCAUCAUUUGUGGUAUCCUCCACCCGAGGGCUUGAUACCAUGGUACUCCAAAAACAUUGUGUGGAGUGGGCUCUGGACUCUGGCGUCAUUCAUGGUUCAGUUGCUCAAUGAAACAAAUCGCCUUGAUGAUUCUGCAAGGGUUGAUUUUUAUUCGAAUCUUGAAGUCCUCUCGGAAGUAUUACUUGAGUCGUAUUCUACUGCUAUCACAGCAAAAAUUGAACGAAAGGAAGAACACAGGACUCUAUUAGAGGAAUACUGGAACCGCAGAGAUGUCCUUCUUGACUCCCUUUAUCAACAAGUGAAAUCUUUUGUCCAAUCAAAACUCCAGGUUGGUUUUUUUUCUUUUUUUUUUUUUUUAAUAAUUAAAUUCCCUGGUAGAAGCUUCGUACGAGGUUCGGAAAUAGCAAGAAUAGUUGAACCUUUUCGUACCAUAUGAUCCUCUUCCAUCUUGAUGAUUUUAUGUAUUACUUUCCAAUCCAUGUCCCAUCUUAAGUAUACAGUGGAACUGCCAAUGUAGUUUUAGAUUAUAAUUAAAAAAGGGAAUGUCUUUAAUAUGUUUACGACUUAACUUUAUUGCUCUAAAAAAUAUUGUCAUAUAUGUUGUUAGAGAGUCAACACUCCACAUCAUUACUAUCAGUGAGAUGGUGUUUUAGGAAAUAGACCAUUAAUUUGGAAGUCCAACCUUGGUGCAUUCUUUUGCUACACCAUCUAAUGUUUAUAGUUGCCCAAUAUAUAGUUGUUUAUUGAAACAUUAAAGUUUAAGUUGAAAUGUAAAUAUAUAAUAGCUAGUGCAUGGAUGAAAGUACUAUGUAUAGUUCACUUUGGAAAACGAAAAUCUAGAAAUAGGCCACUUCCCAACAUUAACUAUACAUCUUUGUAAACAUUGUUGCUUGAAGGGAAGAAAUAUAUACUCUUCGAUAUGGAGGAAUAUAUGUGGAUCACAUCCAUAAUACAUUCGUAAUGUUGCAGGAUUCAGCUGUGGAAAACGAAGAACAGAACAAGGAUACUCUCAUGAAACUUUCUUCAAAGCUAUUAUCUAUUGCAAAGCGUCACGAGGGGUAUCAAACUAUGUGGAGCAUUUGCUGUGACCUGAAUCAUUCUGAACUCCUUCAAAGUCUCAUGGUAUGACUAAAUACUAUUAAGUUACCGUUAGUGCAACCCCACUGCUUACAGAGGCAAAGGCUUGGGCCUACUUGUUGUGGAUGCUGUUUCGUUUACUUUACAAAAAUAUAUGUAUAUAUAUUUUUUGUCAUUAGUAUUCCAGAGUUGUGAUGGGUCAUUUUGCACGUAAUGUUCUAAUUGCUCAAUCUUCUGUGCACCUUAUUUUUUUUACUCAAAAUAAAACCUUUUGUUUUGUAGCAAGAAAGUAUGGGUCCUAGAGGAGGUUUCAGUUGCUUUGUCUUCAAACAACUCUACGAAAGCAAACAGUUUUCGAAGCUUAUAAGGCUGGGCGAGGAGUUCCAGGCUGAGCUAGCUACAUUUCUGAAGCAGCAUCCAGAUCUUCUCUGGCUUCAUGAAGUGUUUCUUCAUCAAUUUUCCUCAGCUUCCGAAACUUUACAUGCAUUAUCUCUUUCUAAGGAUGAUGCAUCAAUUUCAACUAUUGACGAUACUGAAUCUAGCAGCUCGGGGCGUCAAUUAACUUUGGCGAACAGAAAGCAUUUUCUGAAUUUAGCAAAAAUAUCUGCAAUGGCAGGUAUUUUGCCCACCUGUAGUAUAUCCUUUUUCUGCCUUAGUGUCUCAUGUUAGAAAAUAUGUUUUUUGCAAACUAUACAUGCUUGUCUGUGAGUAGUAUGAUGAGAUAUUGAAUCUAAGUGGUCCCCCUUUCCACUUAUUGCUGCCAAGAAUGUGGUGUUCACAGCUACAAAUACCGUCUAAAUGCAUUUUUCUCAAAUAUCUUGCUGGGCGAUGACCAAGAAUUUAAUGAAAAAAAACUCUGUAUAAAUUUCUGACAAUAAAAAAGUACAUGCACUGAUUCAAUUAGAGAUAAAACAUAUAUAAAAUGGGAUAAAUACAAUUUAUUCAACCAUGCAGAAAGGAACAUGAUCAAAGUGUGACAGAAUAGUUUUUAGUAAUUGUGAUUGCUGGGCUAGUAAUUUCACGAUUGCAGAUGUAUGACUUAGUAGAGCAUGUGAGACAGAUCUAUUUUCACCUGAAUAGUGAUGUCAAUAUGUGAAAAUUUUCAGGAAGAAAGGAUGCGUACGAGCUAAAGAUGCAACGGAUCGAAGCAGAUCUGAACAUUUUACAGCUACAGGUAUGCUAAUGUACCAAAUUUUUAAUUGAUUGAAUCCUUUCUGAGGCUCGGAAACCCUUGGGAAUUCCUUAUUAUGCAGUUAAUCUGCAUAAAAAAAAUCAGCGGUCGGAUUCUUGGGAGUGUAUUCUCUAAAUUAUUUUCCAUAUUAAAUUUUUAAUUUACACUGGCUAAUUGACUAAGGCAGGGAUGUUUGAAUUUUCUCCCUCUAUUAUAAUUACGAAGAGUUCAAGUCUUUUCAGUUUGCACAUUUGUGUUAUACACGAAACAGCCUGUAAAUGUUGUUCUGUUGGAGCACGUUUUGUUGUUUUGAGGAAGGAUCGAUCAUAUUUGUGUUUAUCAGAUUUAUUCUGAUAUGAAAAUUAGUAAUUAAAAUUUUGGACAAAUAAAAAGUGGAUAUUCGAAGAUUUCGUAAUUCUAAAACUUAGCGGAAUGGACAAAUAUCUUUGUAUUUCGGAAAAAACUCUGGAACAUUUUGGAACGUAGGAUAUCCCUGCAAAGCUUCAUCAGAGAUCUGGUUUUCCUUCGAGUUGCAAGGGUGCAAAUGUAAUUAAGGUUUUAUUUCGGCUGAUGAAUGUAUGUUUUUGGCUUCUAUACUGGUGACUAGUGAGUUUGUUCUGUGAAAUUCUCAAAACACCAAUUGUUACUAUUAGUGAACUUUAGACUCCGAGCACUUGAAUUCAUCCAAGUUUAAAUCUAGCUGGAGAUUUGAUCAAAGCCUUAUCAUCGCUUCUCAACGUGACAUAUUCAUCUGUCCUUUAUUAUCACUCCAUUUGUUCUCUUUAUAGUUUAUGCUUACAAAUGGACAUUUGAAAAUUGAGAUUUGUAUUUAAAUGCAGGCCCUGGCCUGGAGAUUAAAAUCCUUAAAUAGCACAAUUUCGCUUUUUUCAGAAUUACAAGAACUUUCAUUCAGACUAACUUCCGUGUCUUACAGGAAGAAAUAUUGAGGCAAACACCAGAUAACGAGGAAAAACAAUCAAUUGAAGAGAAGCUUCUUCCUCCAAUUGACCUCAUCGAAUUGUGUCUCAAAAUCCAAACACGGGAUCUUUCAUUACGAGCCUUUGAUCUUUUCUCAUGGACCAGUGCCUCCUUUCUUAGAAGCAAUACGAACCUAUUGGAAGAAUGCUGGAGGAACGCUGCAAAUCAAGAUGAUUGGGAAAAACUGUACCAAAUGUCUAUGACCGAGGGAUGGAGCGACGAGACGACUGUGGACAUUCUUAAGGAAACAAUACUUUUUCAAGCCUCCAGCAAGUGUUAUGGGCCAGUGGCAGAAAAUCUUGAUGUUAAAUUCGAACAAGUUCUUCCACUGAGCCAAGAAAGUACCGAACACUCUGUAGAAGCUGUUCUCAGACAGCACAAAGAUUUCCCAGAUGCAGGGAAACUGAUGGUGAUGGCGAUUAUGCAUGGCAGUUUUUCGGUGGGUCCCACUGGAACGGACUACGAAGAUGAUUAUCCCAUGGAGUGAAAUAAUUGUUAUAAGGUAUGGGUUUAUUUGACUUGUGUAGUAUUUUCAAGAGUCUCUUUAAUUGCGAGGGGGUGUAGUAUUUUCUGGAAUUCUCGAACUCUGGAAUUUUGAAGUGGAUAUACGAGAUUGAUUAGAUUAAAAACAUGAUCAUGGUAAAAAAAGGCUCAACGAAACGGAAAGAGCAAUUCUCAUGUUCUUGAUUGUAGCUGUCAAAAUUGCUGUUGCUGGGUACUAGAUGUGUAAGCUUGUAUGGAUAGCAUGAAACGGAAAACAAUUUUUAAUAUGUCGUUUAAGUCGAAGUUUCUGUACCUGAGAAAUGCUAUACUGCAUCGAGAUACAAGUUGUAUGAUAGAUAUAUUUAUUCUCUAACCAACUGUAAGUAGGAGAAUUGGUAUUAUCUAAUACUGAGUAUUAUGUGUGACAUCUUGUUAUUUACUUUGCCGGGUGAAAUUUUGUAAGCCAAAAGGCGAAUAAUUCAUCAACCGUAAACGUGCAGAAAUUAGUUACCUAAAAGAGGAUUUUGUGCACAAAUUGAUGAUAAUUUGUCAGUGGUAAGUUAUGUGUAUUAAUAUUUAUAAAUCAUAAUGAAUAAACAGUCCAACCAACCAUAGUUAAAAUUUAAAACAUAGAUUGAUAUUAUGAAUGACACACAAUCUUUGAUCCAAUAUUGAUAUUGACAAUUAUAUAAAUAAAUAAAUAUUCAUAAGUCCCAUAUAAAAAGAAAAUAAGCAGAAUAGGAUUUCCCAUAUUUUUCAGUGGAAUUAAAUUAAAUGUGUGCUUGUGGAAUGUGUUGUGCCAUUGUGUGUGUGACUGUGUUUUUCGUGCACCAAGUGACAUGGCACUUUAAUUGGCUGAGAAUGGAUUACAUUUAGCAACAAAACUCCAAAUCAGAAUUCCCAAUGCCACAUGGCCAAAUGAAGACCUAGACUUCUCUUUAAACAAAAAUCUGGAGGGAAAUCUUGAUCCACCAAAACCAACCAAUCAGCUAAUGCUGACGUGUAGAUAUUGCAAUCCACAACAUAAUCCCAACUUCUAUUUAUACCCUCUUUGCACCACCCUUAUUCCUCACCACCAUCGAGCACAACAAACAAAAUCAAUUAGCAACAAAAAGAAAAAAAAAAACAAAAAAAAAAAAUGGCAACUUCAGCAAUUCAACAAUCUGCAUUCAGUGGGAAGACUGCUUUGAAGCCACAAAAUGAGCUGAUCAGGAAGAUCGGCAACGUCGGCGGCGGCCGCUUCACCAUGAGACGUACCGUCAAGAGCGCCCCUCAGAGCAUAUGGUAUAAUUUCCGCAAUUCGGUAAAUUUAUUAUUAAUUAAUUAUAUAUCUCAAUUUAUCGAAAAUAGGUACAGUUUCAAAAAUAUGGUUUGAUUUAGUGUAACAUGUAAAAUUUAUGUGUUUCAUCUAAUAAUAAUAAUGUGUAAUUUACUAUAAUUUUUAUUAUAUAUCUUGAUGAUUUAGGUACGGAGAAGACAGGCCCAAGUACUUGGGCCCAUUCUCCGAGCAGACCCCAUCGUACCUCACCGGUGAAUUCCCCGGUGACUACGGAUGGGACACUGCUGGGCUCUCGGCAGAUCCCGAGACAUUCGCCAAGAACCGUGAGCUGGAGGUGAUCCACAGUAGGUGGGCCAUGCUCGGCGCUCUGGGAUGCGUCUUCCCAGAGGUUCUAUCAAAGAACGGUGUCAAAUUUGGAGAGGCAGUGUGGUUCAAGGCCGGGUCACAGAUCUUCUCCGAAGGUGGGCUCGACUAUUUGGGAAACCCUAACCUCGUCCACGCACAGAGCAUUUUGGCCAUAUGGGCCACCCAAGUUGUGCUAAUGGGCUUUGUUGAGGGUUACAGAGUUGGAGGGGGCCCACUAGGAGAGGGGCUCGACAAGGUGUACCCGGGCGGGUCUUUUGACCCGUUGGGUCUAGCCGAGGACCCGGAAGCCUUUGCUGAGUUGAAGGUUAAGGAACUCAAGAACGGGAGAUUGGCUAUGUUUUCCAUGUUUGGGUUCUUUGUCCAAGCGAUUGUCACCGGAAAGGGUCCGAUUGAGAACCUUUUUGACCAUCUUGCCGACCCCGUUGCAAACAAUGCUUGGGCCUUCGCCACUAACUUUGUGCCCGGAAAAUGAGAGUGAACACAAGAUUUGCUUUUGAUGAAGUUGUAAAGUGUGGGAUUUAAUUUGCUUUUGAUGUAAUAGUGGAAUGGUUGGACUUUCAAUUUAAUGUAUAUUUGGCAUCUUUUUUCCUUACAUCUUGUUGCACGGUUUAUUCUAUGCUACACCGGGUAGAU